GUUUUUUCCUGCAAUGGCGAUUGAAUUGACUUGUAUUGUUCGUCUUCAUCCCAAUGGGAGCUCGCUGCUCUAAAUUAGGAUUUUGCUGGUGGCCUUCCAACCUCAUGAAACUGCCAACGUCCCUUAUUCCUCUGAUGUUGAGAAAUGUGGAGAAAAUGAGAGGAUGAACCUGCCAGCAUUUAAAGAAUGCAGUUUAGAUGAGUUGAAGGUGGCGACUUCAGGAUUCUCAGUUGAAAACUUUUUAUCAGAACAUGGAGAGAAAGCUCCCAAUGUUGUCUACAAUUGGCAGCUUGAAGAUGACGGCUCAUGGAUUGCUGUCAAACGUUUCAAUAAGUCGAUUCUCGGCAAAUUCCCGAUUAUUAUUACUUCUUUUCAGCAAGUCCCCAGCUAUAGUGUUUCACAAAUGUGAUAUUAUCUUAUUUAUGUACGUGCCUUGAUAUCAGCCAUUGUACUUAGUUAGCCAUGAGUAUGGUAGAUGUUAUGCAGAUUUAAGAUUUGUUGUAUGCAAUUUGUAGGUUGAUUAAGUGAGGAAACUUAUUGUAGGCUGAUGUGAAUUGAAACCUUGAUUAUACUGUUGUUAUACCUUUGUUUAAGGUCACAUGGGAUGAAGUAUCUUGCUUCUACCAAUAAUAUAAAGUCAAUUUCAUGUU